AGCAUAUCUAAAUUGGCUACAGCGUUGCGGUCAGGACAGAGCAAAAAAAACAAGACAUCAGUAUUGCCGAGUAUUUGCUAGUACCUGGUUCCCAAGCUAAGAGUGUUGGGAAUAAAGCUCAGAUGCUCAUGCCCAUACAUCAAGCACGUUCCUAACUAAGCUGUCUCCUAGCUCUUGGAGUUUCUGGGUCUGUUCAGGAGCCGCCUUCUUUCUUCAGAAUGACAAGUGGAACGGACACGGGUGGAUUCACUCUGUUGAGCCUGGAAGAGAUGAAAGAGAAGAAAGGCCGUCCAUUUUCUGAAGUGUUCCUCGUGGGCCAUGUGCAUGUGCCAUUAAGGCCUGCUGGGACCCGGAGCCAGGGCUGGUCUCCCUGAGAUGCUACAGGGGUUUCCUCUGGCUCGCCGUGGCCACUGUUGCUCGGCACAGUACCCACUUAUAACAAAAUAAAAACAUUCUUCAAGGA